GGCUCAGGAUGAACGCUAGCUACAGGCUUAACACAUGCAAGUCGCGGGGCAGCAUUUCCUUAGCUUGCUAAGGAAGAUGGCGACCGGCGCACGGGUGAGUAACGCGUAUCCAACCUUCCCAUGUCCACGGGAUAGCCCGUCGAAAGGCGGAUUAAUACCGUAUGAGGUCACAUGCGGGCAUCUAAGUGUGACGAAAGGUUUUGCGGACAUGGAUGGGGAUGCGUCCGAUUAGUUAGUUGGUGGGGUAAUGGCCUACCAAGACGAUGAUACGUAGCCGACCUGAGAGGGUGAUCGGCCACAUUGGGACUGAGACACGGUCCAAACUCCUACGGGAGGCAGCAGUGAGGAAUAUUGGUCAAUGGGCGAGAGCCUGAACCAGCCAAGUAGCGUGCAGGAAGACGGCCCUAUGGGUUGUAAACUGCUUUUAUAAGGGAAUAAAGUGGGUCUCGUGAGACUUUUUGCAUGUACCUUAUGAAUAAGGACCGGCUAAUUCCGUG
rnacentral:rRNA from 1 species